rnacentral:rRNA from 1 species
GACGAACGCUGGCGGCGUGCUUAACACAUGCAAGUCGAACGGAAAGGCCCUGCUUUUGUGGGGUGCUCGAGUGGCGAACGGGUGAGUAACACGUGAGUAACCUGCCCUUGACUUUGGUAUAACUUCAGGAAACUGGAGCUAAUACCGUAUAGGAGCUCCUGCUGCAUGGUGGGGGUUGGAAAUUUUCGGCGGUUGGGGAUGGACUCGCGGCUUAUCAGCUUGUUGGUUGGGUAGUGGCUUACCAAGGCUUUGACGGGUAGCCGGCCUGUGAGGGUGAACGGCCACAUUGGGACUGAGAUACGGACCAGACUCCUACGGGAGGCAGCAGUGGGGAAUAUUGCACAAUGGGAGGAAGCCUGAUGCAGCAACGCCGCGUGCGGGAUGACGGCCUUCGGGUUGUAAACCGCUUUCGCCUGUGACGAAGCGUGAGUGACGGUAAUGGGUAAAGAAGCACCGGCUAACUACGUG